GCUUACGGCCACACCGCCUGGUAUACGCUUGAUCUCGGAAGAUAAGGUAGGUUGGGCCUGGUUAGUACUUGGAUGGGAGACCGCCUGGGAAUACCAGGUGCUGUAAGCU
ensembl:rRNA 5S_rRNA 5S ribosomal RNA